GACGAACGCUGGCGGCGUGCUUAACACAUGCAAGUCGAACGGAAAGGCCCUGCUUGCAGGGUACUCGAGUGGCGAACGGGUGAGUAACACGUGGGUGAUCUGCCCUGCACUUCGGGAUAAGCCUGGGAAACUGGGUCUAAUACCGGAUAGGAGCCAUUUUUAGUGUGAUGGUUGGAAAGUUUUUUCGGUGUAGGAUGAGCUCGCGGCCUAUCAGCUUGUUGGUGGGGUAAUGGCCUACCAAGGCGGCGACGGGUAGCCGGCCUGAGAGGGUGGACGGCCACAUAGAGUCUGAGGUGCGGCCCAGGCUGCGACGGGAGGCAGCAGUGGGGAAUAUUGCACAAGGGGCGCAAGCCUGAUGCAGCGACGCCGCGUAGGGGAUGACGGCCUUCGGGUUGAAAACUCCUUUCGCUAGGGACGAAGCUUUUUGUGACGGUACCUAGAUAAGAAGCACCGGCUAACUACGUG
rnacentral:rRNA from 1 species